rnacentral:rRNA from 1 species
GACAGAGGGUGCAAACGUUGCUCGGAAUCACUGGGCGUAAAGCGCACGUAGGCGGAUUGUUAAGUCAGGGGUGAAAUCCUGGAGCUCAACUCCAGAACUGCCUUUGAUACUGGCGAUCUUGAGUCCGGGAGAGGUGAGUGGAACUGCGAGUGUAGAGGUGAAAUUCGUAGAUAUUCGCAAGAACACCAGUGGCGAAGGCGGCUCACUGGCCCGGUACUGACGCUGACGGUGCGGAAAG